UCCUCCGCGUCUAGAUCCGACGCUAUUACACGAACUGAGCGGCUGACGACCCGAUUGGUUUGUCUUCCAUGGCAACGCAGUUCUCUGACAACCCAGAUCCGGCGACGCGCGACUUCUUCGGCCGGUAGUGACUACCGUGUGGCGCCCAACAUCGAGAAUCCCAACUCACCCAUGUUUUUCGAAUGCCUGAGCUUAACCUGACACCCUCUGGCGGCCAGCGGCGGUUCUGGCAUGAUAUUCGUUCCCUCCGACGAUCGCCAACAUUCCAUGAGCAUAAAAUUUCUCUACAGCACCCCUCUCCGACGCUAACAACAACGUUUGGUGACUCUCGACACUUACCCACGCACAAAAGAAGCCAUGAUACCCGCAGAUUGUUAGCAUUAGUUAUUCAAGCCCCAACACUUUUGCCAUCGUUUCGGCAAGGUUUGGUGGGUAACGACCCUUGAAUACCCUUUUAGAUUCAACUUUAGUUGUCAUUUGUAACAUGCUGAUUUUACCUUGUUUCCAAGGUUUCAAUCUGACUCAAGAAGUUAGGAGCGUUUAGGUGAGUUGUAAGUAGUUUUUUACUUGAGGGAUUGUUUGUUGUGUGAUGCUAUGAAUGGAUUGUUUGCUUGUGUGCCUAUAAGUGUUAUUGCAUGAUUGCUUGCGGUUGUUACUAGUUUAUACACAUUGCUGUUGUUAUAUUGUGAGUUGGAUGUGUUUUGACUGUUAUGAAAAUUUAUUGAAGUGUUGGAUGUGUUUCUAGGUCUGUUAAUCAUAUUAUUGUAUUGUUGUGUUCACAAAAGCACACUGAGUUUUUGUGAGAAUGGCUAUAUUGUGCGAGCAUGUUGACAUAUUAUUUUCGUUGUUAGAAUGUUGUUUAUGUACUAGAAUCGUGCUGGACUAUUAUGAGCUGAACAUUGAUUUGUAUGUUGCAUGUUGAAUUAAUUAUGAGUGAAUAUAGCAUUCUUGAUCAAGCUCUUCCCAGACCUAGACGAAUGGAUGGAAAAUUUGAGUUCUCAAAUCUAAAUGAGGAGGAGUUUGAAACAACUACUUAAAAGUAGAAGUUGGAGAUAGAGGAACUUUUUAGCACGACACAAAGAACUACUAUUAUAUGUGAGUUAGGUUACACAUUCACCCAUCGCAUCCCUUGUUUAGAAAGGAUAUAAAGUUGGACCUUCACUAUGCCCAGGAGUAGCUUGUGGGAGCAACAUUUUGAGGAGAAUGUAUAGGGAAGAGUUUCGGCAUACUUUCGACAUGUACGAGGUUGAUGUAAUGUGAAUAUAGUUCGUUGGGCAUUCUCUUAUUGUAGUCCUAGACUUAUUGUGACGCCCGAGAGGAGGGGUACAUGAAUAAACCGAUACCACAUCCGAAUGAGAGGGAUCCUGAGAUUAUUGAAGAAUGAUCAAG